ACACAUCUCACACAUUCAACUGCUGAGAAACGUACAUUGAGUGAAGACACAGCAAUGCAUGUACUAUGGAGUUUCCUAUUAUUGGGGAUAUUCUGGACCUCCUUGGUGAAUUGCCAGGAAUCUGUGAGUUUCCAGAAUGACACCAUCACCGUCACAGAAGGGGAAAAUGUCACUCUUCAUUGUGAUUUUAAAGUGAGUGUCUUUCGAGGGUUAAGAUGGUACAAGGUGAUCCCAGGAUCCAGUCCGGUUCAUAUAAUCGGUGCUACCAUAAAAGCACAUAGCACAGAAGGAAGAUAUAAACUUGACUUUCAGGGUGACAGCUGUUUACUGCACAUCCAGGACCUCGGCGUAUCUGACUCUGCGUUGUAUCUCUGUGGCGUGUAUGAUGCACAGUGUAUGAACCGACAGGAAGACCUGUGCAAGAACUCCAUCUGCCUGCAGGAAACAUCUAUGUACACCUUGUUGUAGAAAAGCUCAUCUUCACACAUUGUUUUCACUUUUACUUUUUUAAUAAAAUGAAAAAUAUAUACAGUAUGUACUGGCA